CAUCGCCGCGGUAAAACGAAGGGUGCAAGCGUUACUCGGAAUUACUGGGCGUAAAGCGUGCGUAGGCGGCUUCUUAAGUCGGAUGUGAAAUCCCUGAGCUUAACUUAGGAAUUGCAUUCGAUACUGGGAAGCUAGAGUAUGGGAGAGGAUGGUAGAAUUCCAGGUGUAGCGGUGAAAUGCGUAGAGAUCUGGAGGAAUACCGAUGGCGAAGGCAGCCAUCUGGCCUAAUACUGACGCUGAGGUACGAAAGCAUGGGGAGCAAACAGGAUUAGAUACCCCCGUAGUCCCUGUCUCUUAUACA
rnacentral:rRNA from 1 species